AACGCGAAGAACCUUACCUACUCUUGACAUCCAGAGAACUUUCCAGAGAUGGAUUGGUGCCUUCGGGAACUCUGAGACAGGUGCUGCAUGGCUGUCGUCAGCUCGUGUUGUGAAAUGUUGGGUUAAGUCCCGCAACGAGCGCAACCCUUAUCCUUGUUUGCCAGCGAGUAAUGUCGGGAACUCCAGGGAGACUGCCGGUGAUAAACCGGAGGAAGGUGGGGACGACGUCAAGUCAUCAUGGCCCUUACGAGUAGGGCUACACACGUGCUACAAUGGCGCAUACAGAGGGCGGCCAACUUGCGAGAGUGAGCGAAUCCCAAAAAGUGCGUCGUAGUCCGGAUUGGAGUCUGCAACUCGACUCCAUGAAGUCGGAAUCGCUAGUAAUCGUGGAUCAGAAUGCCACGGUGAAUACG
rnacentral:rRNA from 1 species